CCUACGGGGGGCUGCAGUGGGGAAUAUUGGACAAUGGGGGGAACCCUGAUCCAGCCAUGCCGCGUGUGUGAAGAAGGCCCUCGGGUUGUAAAGCACUUUCAGUGAGGAAGAACGCCUGGUGGUUAAUACCCAUCAGGAAAGACAUCACUCACAGAAGAAGCACCGGCUAACUCCGUGCCAGCAGCCGCGGUAAUACGGAGGGUGCGAGCGUUAAUCGGAAUUACUGGGCGUAAAGCGCGCGUAGGUGGCUUGAUAAGCCGGUUGUGAAAGCCCCGGGCUCAACCUGGGAACGGCAUCCGGAACUGUCAAGCUAGAGUGCAGGAGAGGAAGGUAGAAUUCCCGGUGUAGCGGUGAAAUGCGUAGAGAUCGGGAGGAAUACCAGUGGCGAAGGCGGCCUUCUGGACUGACACUGACACUGAGGUGCGAAAGCGUGGGUAGCAAACAGGAUUAGAUAUCCGAGUAGUC
rnacentral:rRNA from 1 species